GGAUGUGAGGGCGAUCUGGCUGCGACAUCUGUCACCCCAUUGAUCGCCAGGGUUGAUUCGGCUGAUCUGGUUGGCUAGGCGGGUGUCCCCUUCCUCCCUCACCGCUCCAUGUGCUCCAUGUGCGUCCCUCCCGAAGCUGCGCGCUCAGUCGAAGAGGACGACCAUCCCCGAUAGAGGAGGACCAUUCUUCGGUCAAGGGUAUACGAGUAGCUGCGCUCCCCUGCUAGAACCUCCAAACAAGCUCUCAAGGUCCAUUUGUAGGAGAACGUAGUGUAGUCAAGCUUCCAAGACUCCAGACACAUCCAAAUGAGGCGCUGCACGUGGCAGUCUGCCUUU
rnacentral:snRNA from 1 species